rnacentral:rRNA from 1 species
ACUCCCAAACCCAUGUGAACAUACCUAACGUUGCCUCGGCAGGUCGCACCUACCUUGUAGCACCCUACCCUGUAGGGCCUACCCGGGAGGUGCGGGUAAGCCUGCCGGCGGCCCACCAAACUCUGUUUGAUAUUGAAUUCUGAACCUAUAACUAAAUAAGUUAAAACUUUCAACAACGGAUCUCUUGGUUCUGGCAUCGAUGAAGAACGCAGCGAAAUGCGAUAAGUAAUGUGAAUUGCAGAAUUCAGUGAAUCAUCGAAUCUUUGAACGCAUAUUGCGCCCAUUAGUAUUCUAGUGGGCAGGACCGUUCGAGCGUCAUUUCAACCCUUAAGCCUUCGUUGCUUAGUGUUGGGAGCCUACGGCAACGUAGCUCCUCAAAGUUAGUGGCGGAGUUGGUUCACACUCUAGACGUAGUAAUUUUUUAUCUCGCCUAUUAGUUGGACUAAUCCCCUGCCGUAAAACCCCCAAUUUAUCAAGGUUGACCUCGAAUCGGUUCAGACAAACUCGCUAAAUUGAAGCAUCUUAGUCAGCGAAGGAAAAGAAACCAACAGGGAUUGCCCUAGUAACGGCGAGUGAAGCGGCAACAGCUCAAAUUUGAAAUCUGGCCCUCGGGUCCGAGUUGUAAUUUGUAGAGGAUGCUUUUGGCGCGGUGCCUUCCGAGUUCCCUGGAACGGGACGCCUUAGAGGGUGAGAGCCCCGUACGGUUGGACACCAAGCCUCUGUAAAGCUCCUUCGACGAGUCGAGUAGCUUGGGAAUGCUGCUCUAAAUGGGAGGUAAAUUUCUUCUAAAGCUAAAUAUUGGCCAGA